rnacentral:rRNA from 1 species
GACGGGGGAUGCAAGCGUUAUCCGGCCUCACUGGGCGUAAAGCGUCUGUAGGUGGUGAUGCAAGUCACUGGUGCAAAACUCUGGCUCAACCGGAGGAAAGCCAGUGAAACUGCAUGACUAGAGUGUGGGAGAGGUAGAAGGAAUUCCCUGAGUAGCGGUGAAAUGCGUAGAUACAGGGAAGAACACCGGAGGCGAAAGCGUUCUACUGGAACACAACUGACACUGAGAGACGAAAGCUAGGGGAGCGAAGGGG